rnacentral:rRNA from 1 species
CGCCCUCUGACCAAAUAAUAUAGAGGGUCCUGCCUGCCCAGUGACACUCGUUUAACGGCCGCGGUAUUAUGACCGUGCAAAGGUAGCGUAAUCACUUGUCUCCUAAAUAAAGACCAGUAUGAAUGGCAAAACGAAAGCUUGACUGUCUCCUUAGAUUAAUCAAUGAAAUUGAUCUUUCCGUGCAGAAGCGGAAAUAUCUUUAUAAGACAAAAAGACCCCAUGGAGCUUCAAAUCUAAAUUAAUCAUAUCUACUAAAAAUAUAAUAAACAACUUAAUGUAAGAUUUUGGGUUGGGGCGACCGCGGAGUAAACUUUAACCUCCGAGACAAGUAAUUAAGAAAGACAUUUCAAAAUAAUAAGAUAACUAAUAUACUUGAUCCAAUAUUUGAUCAACGAACCAAGUUACCCUGGGGAUAACAGCGCAAUCCUUUUAGAGAGUCCAUAUCGACAAGGGGGUUUACGACCUCGAUGUUGGAUCAGGGCCCCCAAAUGGUGCAGCAACUAUUAAAGGUUCGUUUGUUCAACGAUUAAAGCCCUACG